UACGUAGGGCGCAAGCGUUGUCCGGAAUUAUUGGGCGUAAAGAGCUCGUAGGCGGUUUGUCGCGUCUGCUGUGAAAUCCCGAGGCUCAACCUCGGGACUGCAGUGGGUACGGGCAGACUAGAGUGUGGUAGGGGAGACUGGAAUUCCUGGUGUAGCGGUGGAAUGCGCAGAUAUCAGGAGGAACACCAAUGGCGGAGGCAGGUCUCUGGGCCACUACUGACGCUGAGGGGCGAAAGCAUGGGGAGCGAACAGG
rnacentral:misc_RNA from 1 species